AAAUGAUUUUGAUGCCAUAUAUUAUACCUGAAAGAGGUGAAGUUUUAAAGAAAGGUUGUAAUGUGAAGGGUUGUGUGAUUCAAACUGUCCUCUAGUUACUUUUAUUCAUUUAACUGUAAUACAAUAAUGUAAUGUCAUGUUCUCAUUUUGGCCUGCUUUACAGUAAAUGAACUGGAACUUAUCUCUUUUACUUCAGGCUUUCAGAUAAACUUCUGUGAAAAGACACAAAGUAAACGCAAAGCACUGAAGUUGAAUUUUGCAAACCCACCUGUCAAAUCUACAGCAAGGUUUACUCUGAAUCCCAAUACUACAGGAGUCCAAAACCCACACAUGUGAGUAUUCUUCUUAAUCAAGUAAAAGGCUCGACUCAGGCAAAGGAUUUUCCAAGCAGAGAGAUUGGUAC
rnacentral:lncRNA from 1 species